rnacentral:rRNA from 1 species
GAUGAACGCUGGCGGCGUGCCUAAUACAUGCAAGUCGAGCGAACGGACGAGAAGCUUGCUUCUCUGAUGUUAGCGGCGGACGGGUGAGUAACACGUGGAUAACCUACCUAUAAGACUGGGAUAACUUCGGGAAACCGGAGCUAAUACCGGAUAAUAUUUUGAACCGCAUGGUUCAAAAGUGAAAGACGGUCUUGCUGUCACUUAUAGAUGGAUCCGCGCUGCAUUAGCUAGUUGGUAAGGUAACGGCUUACCAAGGCAACGAUGCAUAGCCGACCUGAGAGGGGAUCCGCCAACACUGAACUGAGACACGGUCCAGACUCCUACGGGAGGCAGCAGUAGGGAAUCUUCCGCAAUGGGCGAAAGCCUGACGGAGCAACGCCGCGUGAGUGAUGAAGGUCUUCGGAUCGUAAAACUCUGUUAUUAGGGAAGAACAUAUGUGUAAGUAACUGUGCACAUCUUGACGGUACCUAAUCAGAAAGCCACGGCUAACUACGUG